rnacentral:rRNA from 1 species
AGCGGUGGAGCAUGUGGUUUAAUUCGAUGCAACGCGAAGAACCUUACCUGGUCUUGACAUCCACGGAAGAAUUCAGAGAUGGAUUUGUGCCUUCGGGAACCGUGAGACAGGUGCUGCAUGGCUGUCGUCAGCUCGUGUUGUGAAAUGUUGGGUUAAGUCCCGCAACGAGCGCAACCCUUAUCCUUUGUUGCCAGCGGUCCGGCCGGGAACUCAAAGGAGACUGCCAGUGAUAAACUGGAGGAAGGUGGGGAUGACGUCAAGUCAUCAUGGCCCUUACGACCAGGGCUACACACGUGCUACAAUGGCGCAUACAAAGAGAAGCGACCUCGCGAGAGCAAGCGGACCUCAUAAAGUGCGUCGUAGUCCGGAUUGGAGUCUGCAACUCGACUCCAUGAAGUCGGAAUCGCUAGUAAUCGUGGAUCAGAAUGCCACGGUGAAUACGUUCCCGGGCCUUGUACACACCGCCCGUCACACCAUGGGAGUGGGUUGCAAAAGAAGUAGGUAGCUUAACCUUCGGGAGGGCGCUUACCACUUUGUGAUUCAUGACUGGGGUGAAGUCGUAACAAGGUAACCGUAGGGGAACCUGC